rnacentral:rRNA from 1 species
UACAGAGGGGGCAAGCGUUAUUCGGAAUUAUUGGGCGUAAAGGGCGCGUAGGCGGCCUGGCAAGUGGAAGGUGAAAUCCCUCGGCUUAACCGAGGAACUGCCCUCCAAACUGCUUGGCUUGAGUCCGGGAGAGGUGAGUGGAAUUCCCAGUGUAGCGGUGAAAUGCGUAGAUAUUCGGAAGAACACCAGUGGCGAAGGCGGCUCACUGGACUGGUAUUGACGCUGAUGUGCGAAAGCGUGGGGAGCAAACAGG